GGGGGCGUACUGGUUUCGACGGGGAUCGUCGGAGGCAUGAGAAGCGAGCCGCGUUUUCUGGUCGCGUAAUAAACGGAAAACUAAAAUUAACUGACAAUAACGAAUUUGCUUUCGCUGCUUAAUGCAGCGCGUCGGACUCAAGCGCUCACGGCUUGAAUCACCGGCGUCAUUGAUGUGAGGAACAGGCCCGCCUAAGCUUUGCGGCGAGGCCGGUAAAAUGAAGCUACCAAGGUCUCAAGCCCGGCAUGGGGCGUCUGACCGCGGGAAAUCCAAAACCAUGCCUGCGCUCGGAGAAACUUGUGUGGCCGAAUCUUCGGACAGGGGUUCGAUUCCCCUCGCCUCCACCA
rnacentral:tmRNA from 1 species